CUUGCCUACGGGGGGCAGCAGUCGGGAAUAUUGCGCAAUGGAGGAAACUCUGACGCAGUGACGCCGCGUAUAGGAAGAAGGUUUUCGGAUUGUAAACUAUUGUCGUUAGGGAAGAUAAAAGACUGUACCUAAGGAGGAAGCCCCGGCUAACUAUGUGCCAGCAGCCGCGGUAAUACAUAGGGAGCAAGCGUUAUCCGGAUUUAUUGGGUGUAAAGGGUGCGUAGACGGGAAAUUAAGUUAGUUGUGAAAUCCCUCGGCUUAACUGAGGAACUGCAACUAAAACUGAUUUUCUUGAGUGUUGGAGG
rnacentral:rRNA from 1 species